rnacentral:rRNA from 1 species
UUCGAACGCUGGCGCUCUAUAAUGCAGUCGAGCGAACAGAUAAGGAGCUUGCUCCUUUGACGUUAGCGGCGGACGGGUGAGUAACACGUGGGUAACCUACCUAUAAGACUGGAAUAACUCCGGGAAACCGGGGCUAAUGCCGGAUAACAUAUAGAACCGCAUGGUUCUAUAGUGAAAGAUGGUUUUGCUAUCACUUAUAGAUGGACCCGCGCCGUAUUAGCUAGUUGGUAAGGUAAUGGCUUACCAAGGCGACGAUACGUAGCCGACCUGAGAGGGUGAUCGGCCACACUGGAACUGAGACACGGUCCAGACUCCUACGGGAGGCAGCAGUAGGGAAUCUUCCGCAAUGGGCGAAAGCCUGACGGAGCAACGCCGCGUGAGUGAUGAAGGGUUUCGGCUCGUAAAACUCUGUUAUUAGGGAAGAACAUAUGUGUAAGUAACUGUGCACAUCUUGACGGUACCUAAUCAGAAAGCCACGGCUAACUACGUGCCAGCAGCCGCGGUAAUACGUAGGGGCCAAGCGUAAGCGUGGGUUACGUCUCAACAACAACCUCAAAAAAA